AAGUUUGAUCCUGGCUCAGGAUGAACGCUAGCGGCAGGCCUAACACAUGCAAGUCGCGGGGCAGCACGGGUAGCAAUACCUGGUGGCGACCGGCGCACGGGUGCGUAACGCGUAUGCAACCUGCCCCCAUCAGGGGGAAUAGCCCGCCGAAAGGCGGAUUAAUGCCCCAUAGGCCCAGGGCGCCGCAUGGCGCUAUGGGUAAAGCUCCGGCGGAUGGGGAUGGGCAUGCGUGCCAUUAGCUAGUUGGGGCGGUAACGGCGCACCAAGGCGACGAUGGCUAGGGGGUCUGAGAGGAUGGUCCCCCACACUGGUACUGAGACACGGACCAGACUCCUACGGGAGGCAGCAGUGAGGAAUAUUGGUCAAUGGACGAGAGUCUGAACCAGCCAAAGUAGCGUGAAGGAUGACUGCCCUAUGGGUUGUAAACUUCUUUUAUAAGGGAAUAAAGUGAGGGACGUGUCCCUUUUUGUAUGUACCUUAUGAAUAAGGAUCGGCUAACUCCGUGCCAGCCGCCGC
rnacentral:rRNA from 1 species